rnacentral:rRNA from 1 species
UACGUAGGUUGCGAGCGUUGUCCGGAUUUACUGGGUGUAAAGGGCGUGUAGGCGGAGAAGCAAGUUGGGAGUGAAAUCCAUGGGCUCAACCCAUGAACUGCUCUCAAAACUGUUUCCCUUGAGUAUCGGAGAGGCAAGUGGAAUUCCUAGUGUAGCGGUGAAAUGCGUAGAUAUUAGGAGGAACACCAGUGGCGAAGGCGGCUUGCUGGACGACAACUGACGCUGAGGCGCGAAAGCGUGGGGAGCAAACAGG